UAAUACGUUUGGUGCGGCAAGCUAUUGAGGCAAUUAACCAUAAUGGUUUUGGUGGCAGUAGAGGCUAAAUCAACCCUGUAUACUAUGUGGUUUUGCUUGUUUUGUCCAUUCACAAGCAGGCUCUUGGAUAUGAGAAGGAAGUGAGGACCUGCAGUGCAAUUUGGUGAAGAGGCAUGCUGUUAAGUGCGUUAUAUUCCUGUACAUGUGUACAAAGUGGGAUUGAUUUGCUAUUUCAUGAAUUUUUGAGAAUUCAACUUUUUGGUAUAUGAUAAGGGCAUAGCAUGCUCAACGUUAAAAUUUACAGGUUGGGGACAAGAGGUGUAUAAAGUUUCAAUCUUCAAGGAUAAGACUUGGAAUUCUCUUAAGAUCCAGUUUUGAAUAUUAGGUUCUUUCUGUUGGGAAUAGUCAAACAUAGGAGUAUGAAUAUUGAGAGCAUUAGGUAACAUAUCUAAGGAGACAUGAGUUCCAAUGUAGUCCCAAUGAUUCAUCCUUUAUUAGAGUACUUGGAUCCUUGGGUUGCCGUAUACUUCAUUUUUUUUUAUAAUUGAACACAAGGCACAAUUUUGGUGGAGGAAUUUAGUGGACUUACUAUAUUAUCCGUCAUUAAUUCUUUUUUCUCCUUCUUUUUUAAGUUUUUUUAUCUGGUGAAAAUAAGCGACUGAUUCUGUCUCACAAAUUUAUAUUAUGUACUUAGCAGAUUACUAAGGAAUUCUGCCAAAAAAAGAAAAAAAGAGUGAGGAGAGAACGAGAGAAAGAAAAGAGGAGAUUGCUAGAGAAUUGCAAUUUUGUGGUAAAAGAAAGGAAUGUAUAACAUGGAGUUAGUCACUUAUGUCCGCAUGCCUACAAUCUUCAACAUCUAAUCAGCUUUUGCUACAACAACAACAACAACAACUCAUUAUAAUCCCACUUAGUGGGGUCUGGGUAGGGUAGUGUGUAUACAUACCUUAUCCCUACCCUGGGGUAGAGAGGCUGUUUCUUGGGGAGACUCGAACUCACAACCUCUUGGUUGGAAGUGGGGGUUGCUUACCAUCAGAGCAACCCCUCUUGUCUAUCUAAUCAGCUUUUGCUCUCUUUACUAAAUGAGCCGAGAAGGCUGGGUGUGGGUCAUAUUUUUUGGACAGCUGGUAUCCGUUAAAUCUGCUGAUCUUAGAAAGUGCUGCAGAAGAACUUGAAGUUUUGCUGUAAGUUGCACCAUAUUACCUUGCCUUUGUUUCCUUCCAUGUUUCCUGUGUGAGUUUUCAACUGAUCUUAUUGUGGGGAACAGCAAAACUGUUUAGUGCAGUAAACGAAUUGGAAAAUGUGUUUCUCCUGAGACACAGUCAAAUCCUGGUUGCUCCCUGUGUUCCAGAAAGACACGACAGUGGUUAAGGCAGUGAAAGAUACGGUGAGGUGGACAAAAAGUGAUGAUUUACUGCCACAGGUAUGUACUACGUAAUGAGUGACGAAGAAUGUUCUACCAGCUAAAUUUAUAUGUGCGGAACAAGUCCCCAGUAAAGGCAGCUUUCUUUGCAUGAGAGCUUGGUUGCGCUUCCUGGAGAUGGCCUGAUGCAGAAUCUCAACUUUUGAGAAGGAUUCUUGUCAACUUCUCUGCUGUGUCUAAACGCGGAGAUGUCUCGCGCUAUAGUUUGCUGUUUGUCUGACUGGCACAUGUCAACUGAGUCAUGCUGGCAUAAAUGAGGAGAUUUUGUUAUGUUGCUCCACGCUUGAGAAGGGCAAGAGUGAGGGGAAAAAAAAAGAAACUAUGAGAAUUCAUCGUGUAUCUGCUUAUUUUGGUGUACCUGGGAUUCCUUUUUCUUCUUGAGUUGAAGAAACAACUACUUCAUCAAUCUCAUAUCAUAGACAAAUGUAACAUUUUCCUUGUGAAACUGCACCACACAGAUCCAAGUUGGGUCACAACUGGAUGUUACAUUUGUAGCAUAUGUUGGGCUACUUGGUUUUAGUUUUGGUUUUGUACUUGUAGCUUGCACGAUUGUAAACGCCUGCGAUUCAAUUAACAUCUGUAAUUCCAUAUUGGAUUUUGGCUGUAAGUAUAAGGAUUGACUGUAUUCCUAUAA